AUUGAACGCUGGCGGCAUGCCUUACACAUGCAAGUCGAACGGUAACGCAGGGCAACCUGGCGACGAGUGGCGAACGGGUGAGUAAUGCAUCGGAACGUGCCCAGUAGUGGGGGAUAGCCCGGCGAAAGCCGGAUUAAUACCGCAUACGACCUAAGGGUGAAAGCGGGGGAGCGCAAGACCUCGCGCUAUUGGAGCGGCCGAUGUCGGAGUAGAUAGUUGGUGGGGUAAAGGCCUAACAAGGCAACGAUCCGGAGCUGGUCUGAGAGGACGACCAGCCAAACUGGGACUGAGACACGGCCCAGACUCCUACGGGAGGCAGCAGUGGGGAAUUUUGGACAAUGGGCGCAAGCCUGAUCCAGCCAUGCCGCGUGCGGGAAGAAGGCCUUCGGGUUGUAAACCGCUUUUGUCAGGGAAGAAACGGUCUGAGUUAAUACCUCGGGCUAAUGACGGUACCUGAAGAAUAAGCACCGGCUAACUACGUGCCAGCCGCCGCAGUAAAAC
rnacentral:rRNA from 1 species